rnacentral:rRNA from 1 species
ACUGAACGCUGGCGGCAUGCUUUACACAUGCAAGUCGAACGGUAACAGGUCUUCGGAUGCUGACGAGUGGCGAACGGGUGAGUAAUGCAUCGGAACGUGCCCAGUCGUGGGGGAUAACGCAGCGAAAGCUGCGCUAAUACCGCAUACGAUCUAUGGAUGAAAGCGGGGGACCGUAAGGCCUCGCGCGAUUGGAGCGGCCGAUGUCAGAUUAGGUAGUUGGUGGGGUAAAGGCCCACCAAGCCAACGAUCUGUAGCUGGUCUGAGAGGACGACCAGCCACACUGGGACUGAGACACGGCCCAGACUCCUACGGGAGGCAGCAGUGGGGAAUUUUGGACAAUGGGUGCAAGCCUGAUCCCGCAAUGCCGCGUGCAGGAAGAAGGCCUUCGGGUUGUAAACUGCUUUUGUACGGAACGAAACGGCUCUCUCUAAUACAGAGGGCUAAUGACGGUACCGUAAGAAUAAGCACCGGCUAACUACGUGCCAGCCGCCGCGGUAACAC